rnacentral:lncRNA from 1 species
CCCUUUUCAUCAUAUGAUACAAGAAGCCUAUUUGAGGGUACCUCUCGCUGUCCUGAAGCACUUAGUACAACGACUUGAUAGCCUUCACUAUGUUCAUGGCCUACUACCAAAAUCUGCCCCAUCAUCAAGUCCUCGAUAGUGCUCUCCUUAGUGUUGGCCCUUGCAAAUCUGCUUUCCUAUCAUGUGGGACUGACAAACAUCUGACGUAGUGUUGAUUUCCUCUCAAGAAAGCUAUUAAGUGCAACAUAGUUGGAAGCAAACCAUGUCACACUUGGUCUCAAAAUCUCUCUCACUGCUUACCUACUCAUCAGUAAUAGGACUCAUGUAUGGUUAUAAAUCUAUCUGGUGAUGGUUUGGGUUGUCUCCAUUGUUAGCUGCACCCUACGAAUCUUCGCAAUGUCCAUCAGCAUGAGGUCGAUAGAAUGCGCAACAUAUGAGGUCCAAAAAAUAUGGGGUCACCGCUCCAUCAAGAUCUCUCCGGUAACCUUACAUUAUGGCCCAUUAUCAAUAUUGACUUGCACGAUAUUCUCCUCUCCGACUUGAUCAAUCUGAGAAUGUACAUGGCAUCGUGCACCUGAUCGGAAGCAUCAGCUGACUUAUAGAAGAAAGUCUUUGCAUCACAAUAUAUGAAGAUGUUGAUGAUGCUCAACUUGGUAGGACUGGUCCAAGCAUCACACAUCACCAUUAGUCCAUAUGUGGGCUACUAGCUCUUGUAUGAGGCAAUCCACUUCUCUAGCUCCUC